rnacentral:rRNA from 1 species
AACUCUGAGCGGUGGAUCACUCGGCUCGUGCGUCGAUGAAGAGCGCAGCCCAACUUGCGUGAAUUAGUGAAUUGCAGGAUAUCUUGAACAUCGACAUCUUGAACGCAUAUUGCGGCCUCAGGUCUCCCCUGUGGCCACGCCUGGCCGAGGGUCG